rnacentral:rRNA from 1 species
UACGGAGGAUCCAAGCGUUAUCCGGAAUUACUGGGCGUAAAGAGUUGCGUAGGUGGCAGAGUAAGUAGAUAGUGAAAUCGUGUGGCUCAACCAUAUAUCCAUUAUCUAAACUGCUCAGCUAGAGGAUGAGAGAGGUUAUUGGAAUUCCCAGUGUAGGAGUGAAAUCCGUAGAUAUUGGGAGGAACACCGAUGGCGUAGGCAGAUAACUGGCUCACUCCUGACACUCAGGCACGAAAGCGUGGGGAGCAAACGGG